rnacentral:lncRNA from 1 species
UUUUUGGGACUCUCUCCGACCUCUGUUGAGUGUCCAAGGAAAUGAUGUGUAUGAAGUGUUUUAGUCCUUGUAGAGCCCUGGGCACAUGUAAGGGGGGGAUUGUUAGGUUAGCAGCAGGUAUUCUCUGUGUUUGACUUCAGUCCCGGGAAUCAAGAUUCCUCCUCCUGCUCUGCUCCCUCUUCAUUCCCGCUCAGGCAAGGGACUUGAUGCACAUGAUCUACAAUGUUCUCCAACUGUAAAUGCCUAUAACUGUUUUCUGUUUUGCAGACACCAAAUUUCUAUAUGUCCUUGUGGGUUUUCAUGGAUAUUCUUUCUGCAAUUUUCAUUGUUUCCAUAUUUCGUUUUCAUUGGUGGAGAGCGAGCCAGAGUGAAAAAAUUCGCCAGGGUAUCACCAGUUACACAGAAGCUUCAAGUGCAAGCCUCCAAAAUGAAGUAUUGGAAACUUCGGGUAUCACUGGACUUUCACCAGAGAGGCAAAGGGAACCUCCAAGUUCUAAACCUGUUAUACCAGAGGUUGUCCAUGAAACCACUAUAGCAACCGUGCAUCCCACAGAUGACGUUGGACCACCAGUGCCCACUGAGCCAGCUUUUGAACCGACCUAAGCACCUACUUCGGAAGCCAACAGAGAGGCCACCCUCCAAACUGUAUUGCCUACCUAGGAGGCAAAUGAACCAACGGUUCCUUCUGUGGAGAAGCCUCCUCCUGAAAUAUAACCUGAAAAGCCCCCACCAUUGACUCCCCCCAGUAAUCCUGCUUUAUGAUGGUUUCUACCACAUCCAGCAUGUCCAUCUCCCCCUUUUGGGCUGUCUUCAAAGAACAAUUAGCCCCAACUUGCCUCCUCCUCCUUUUUCUCCCUCUCUGUGCCCAGGGUGACCUGAU